rnacentral:rRNA from 1 species
AUUGAACGCUGGCGGCAGGCCUAACACAUGCAAGUCGAACGGUAACAGGAAACAGCUUGCUGCUUCGCUGACGAGUGGCGGACGGGUGAGGAAUGUCUGGGAAACUGCCUGAUGGAGGGGGAUAACUACUGGAAACGGUAGCUAAUACCGCAUAACGUCGCAAGACCAAAGAGGGGGACCUUCGGGACUCUUGCCAUCGGAUGUGCCCAGAUGGGAUUAGCUAGUAGGUGGGGUAACGGCGCACCUAGGCGACGAUCCCUAGCUGGUCUGCGAGGAUGACCAGCCACACUGGAACUGAGACACGGUCCAGACUCCUACGGGAGGCAGCAGUGGGGAAUAUUGCACAAUGGGCGCAAGCCUGAUGCAGCCAUGCCGCGUGUAUGAAGAAGGCCUUCGGGUUGUAAAGUACUUUCAGCGGGGAGGAAGGGAGUAAAGUCAAUACCUUUGCUCAUUGACGUUACCCGCAGAAGAAGCACCGGCUAACUCCGUGCCAGCCGCCGCCGUAA